GAUGAACGCUGACAGAAUGCUUAACACAUGCAAGUCAUUGGCGAAGCUGCGCUUGCGCAGUCUAGCCAAGGCGGACGGGUGAGUAACGCGUAAGGAACUUGCCCUGCAGACAGGGAUAACAGACGGAAACGACUGAUAACACCUGGUAUUGUCAGGCUGGCGCAUGCCGGCCUGAUGAAAGGAGACGCUGCAGGAGAGCCUUGCGUCCUAUUAGCUAGUUGGUGGGGUAACGGCCCACCAAGGCGAUGAUAGGUAGCCGGCCUGAGAGGGUGAACGGCCACAAGGGGACUGAGAUACGGCCCUUACUCCUACGGGAGGCAGCAGUGGGGAAUAUUGGACAAUGGGGGCAACCCUGAUCCAGCAAUUCUGUGUGCACGAAGAAGGUUUUCGGAUUGUAAAGUGCUUUCAGCAGGGAAGAAGAAAGUGACGGUACCCGCAGAAGAAGCGACGGCUAAAUACGUG
rnacentral:rRNA from 1 species